UACGUAGGGUGCGAGCGUUGCCCGGAUUUAUUGGGCGUAAAGGGCGCGUAGGCGGGGCCGCGCGUCGCACGUGAAAUCUCCCGGCUUACCUGGGAGGGGUCGUGCGAUACGGGCGGUCCUCGAGCGCGGGAGAGGGAAGCGGAAUUCCCGGUGUAGUGGUGGAAUGCGUAGAGAUCGGGAGGAACACCAGUGGCGAAGGCGGCUUCCUGGACCGUGGGCUGACGCUGAGGCGCGAAAGCGUGGGGAGCGAGUCCGG
rnacentral:rRNA from 1 species